rnacentral:rRNA from 1 species
CCUACGGGCGGCUGCAGUGGGGAAUAUUGGACAAUGGGGGGAACCCUGAUCCAGCCAUGCCGCGUGUGUGAAGAAGGCCCUCGGGUUGUAAAGCACUUUCAGUGAGGAAGAACGCCUGGUGGUUAAUACCCAUCAGGAAAGACAUCACUCACAGAAGAAGCACCGGCUAACUCCGUGCCAGCAGCCGCGGUAAUACGGAGGGUGCGAGCGUUAAUCGGAAUUACUGGGCGUAAAGCGCGCGUAGGUGGCUUGAUAAGCCGGUUGUGAAAGCCCCGGGCUCAACCUGGGAACGGCAUCCGGAACUGUCAAGCUAGAGUGCAGGAGAGGAAGGUAGAAUUCCCGGUGUAGAGGUGAAAUGCGUAGAGAUCGGGAGGAAUACCAGUGGCGAAGGCGGCCUUCUGGACUGACACUGACACUGAGGUGCGAAAGCGUGGGUAGCAAACAGGAUUAGAUACCCUAGUAGUC